GUUAUUUUAACCCUACAAUUUUCGAAAAAAUUAAUAUUUUGGAAAAGUUUAAGUUUAUUAAAGAUUCAUAAAAAUAUUCUAUGUUUGUUUGUCCAUUAACUUGCAGCUGUUUACUCUGAGAAGGAUUUACAUGAUAAUCCACCAAUACAGAGACCAAAAUCACAUAAAAUCUUUGAAUAGGCCAUUGUUAUAAAAAUAUACAGCUUCUCCAGUAGUGGACCCAUCUCAAAAGUGUUAAUUUAGAAGAUUAUAAAAAUCAUAGAACUCAUACUCGUACAUAAAAAUAAAGGGGCAGCUUUAUGCUGUUCAAUCUGACAAUGUUGGUAGUGUGAUAUUUCCUGUUCUACAUGCACUCCCUGAUGUUACUCUUACAAUUUUUCUCUGAUUUUUUUGGUAGAAUCAGAGGUAGAAUUUGAUUUUUCUGUUCACUAUUUGCGUGUAUUCUUAAGGCCUAUUCAACCUCUUGAAAAUGUAAGUACUCAUUCAUUUACCUGUUUUCUAGUCUUUUAAAUAUUUUAGAUUCAACUUUAUUGCACUUUAUUAGCGUUCUCUGGCCUUUGUCUCCAUUUUUCAAUAUAUAUCAAAUAUAAUAGAGUAAUUACUCUAUUAUCUGUAUUAUUAAUUAAUAAUCACAGCUAAUACA